CAGAGAGCCCUCUACAGAGAUGUCAUGCAGGAGAAUUAUGAGAAUGUGACCUCGCUGGGAUUUCCAGUUUCCAAACCUGAUGUGAUCUCCCAGCUAGAACAAGGGGAAGAGCCAUGGGUCCCAGACCUCCAGGGUUCAGAGGAAAGAGAGAUCUUGAAAGCUCCCUGCACAGUUGAGGAAACUUAAACCAACUCAGAAUCUGAAGCAUGGCAGUGAGAUCUCUACUGAAAGCUUGUAAAUUAUUGUUACUCCUAAUCACUGCAAGAGGUGUGUACGAGUCCUAUUGAAGGAGUAAUAACCUGUCUAUGCCACUGGGACUCCUCCAAUAGGACCUCAGGAGUGGAGCUUCAGACUGGGGCUGAACUUCAUGGGUGUUAGGUACAUCAUUAGGUCCUUUCAUGGAUUGGUAACUGGUUAAACACUGCUCUGCAUUGACUGCCCUGACCACGGGUGGCCCAGUGGCCCACUGCACCCCCAACUUAGCAGCUCCAGCUACCAAGAGAGCAAGAACCAGAGGCCUUCCUGCUCCUGGGACAGAGGAGUAGGUUGAUGAUCUACCUGGAUGUGAGUGUUGGCCUUCCCCAUGCCCAUGGUCUAGACUUCAUUCAGGGCAGCACACAGGAAUUGCGAUUCCUAUUCUGGAUCUAGGGGCGGUUUCAGUUUGCUGGCAGGAGACUGUACAUGAGACCUUGCAGUUGUGGGGUGAUCCAGGCACUAACAUGGGCACGGAAGUUUGAGGAACAGGGCAGAGGCCUGUGUGGGGCAAGGAGGGCAGGGAUUUGGGAAGCAAGAGCAGAGGAUCAAACACUUUCUUCAUGUGGGACAGGAUGAUCCCCAUUUCAAAGAUAGAGAAAGUGAGGCACCAGAUGGGAGAGUGACCUGGCCAGGAUCACGUUCCCACUCAGUGGCAGGGCUGCAGUAUAACCUGUUCCCUGCUCUCAUCACUGGACCCUGCUGCCCCUUCUGUAGGACCCCUCCAGCCAUCCUCUCCCAUAGGCCAUCUCCACCCCUCUCCAAUACCAGGCUGUUUCCAUAAUGGAAGCAGGCUUGUAACAGAGUUCACUCACUGAUAGGUGCCCCUUCCUGGCGAGGCCUGGGGUCACAGCUUUCCUGCUGGGCUAGCACCCCCGCCGAAAGUUGCUAGGGCACUCUGGCAGUUUUUUGCCUGGGAACUCAGCCCUUCAGUCAGGUGACCAUCUUUUAGUACACUCCUUCCUUGGUCACCCUCAUCCCAAAUGAAAAGUCCAAACAUGUCUUUAACCGAAACAAGGUCUUCCAUCUCUUUGGGGCUUUUCCUCAGCCUGACUUUGGCUCAGCCUUGCCCUUGCUGGUCUUGGUAGUCCUUUCUAUGGCCUUGUAUGUCCCCUUCCUCAGAGAUCAUGGGAGAAUCAGUUCUACCCUGGAUUAUAGGUUCUGCCCCAAGGCCCUGUACCGAACAGCUAGGCCUGCUCCUGUACCUUUGCUGCGGUUUUCCCUAGCUUCCCCUCAGGUGGAGCUCACUCUGUAAUCCAUUGGGCCUAGCUCCAGGCUUUAUUGCCCACAGGUCAAGCCCCCCCGUCAUAUACGCUCCUCCUUAGAAACUGGCCCACAUGAGGGGCAAGUUCUAUUCUUGUCCUGCUUGAUCCCUCGUCAUCUCGCCACUGUCACCAGCUGUGCACUUGUACAGCCUGCACCCACAGUGGCUCCAGCUCCACUGCCAGCUCGCUCACCAGAAUUCAGAGGCAAUCCUCCUCUACAGUAUCCCAACGCUCUUCCUGCAGCCACUCCUCCUCAUUAACAGCUGCUUGCAGAGCCUGUUCUGAAGCCUUUAACUUCUUCUGUAGCCUUUUUGCUACUGCCGCUGCAUAUACCAAAACCUUUUCCAUCAGGGUCAGAGAGCCCACCAUGGACUGCUCCACCCUUGUGUUUGUCCCUUCUUCAGUCUGCUUCAUCUCUGGGCCAACCAUUUUGUCCUUCACCUCCCUGCAGCACCUGACAGGGUGUGUUGCUGGAGGGUCUGCAAAGUCCAUGGCCAUCCCUGCCACCUCCAUGUUGCCUGCCUCAUGUGGGUUUGUGUUAGAGGACACCUUUUCCUUUCUUUCUAACUUCUUGGGGCCCUGGCUUCCAGGGCCAGUGUAGUCACUAGGUGAACUAGGCGGCAGCCUAGGGUGCCAAGAUUUGGGGGUGUCAAAAAGCGGUACCCCCCAAUUUUUUUUUUACACUACAGUGGAGUUGCAUCUUAUGCAGGGAUUAGGUUCUAAGGUCAGCGCAUAAGGGGAAAAUCACGUAUAGUGAAAAUUACCAUAAAGUACAGUACACACAGUAUACACUAGAACAGGGGUCCUCAACCUACAGCACGCAUGCCAAAGGUGGCACACAAGUUGAUUUUUUUUAAAUGGCAGGCUGCAGGUCCCGGCCACCACUGAGCCCGCUGC